GAUGAACGCUGGCGGCGUGCCUAAUACAUGUAAGUCGAGCGCACGGACGAGAAGUCUGCUUUUCUGAUGUUAGCUGCGGACGGGUGAGUAACACGUGGAUAACCUACUUAUUAGACUGGGAUAACUUCGGGAAACCGGAGCUAAUACCGGAGAAUGUUCUGAACCGCAUUGUUCAAAAGUGAAAGACGGUCUUGCUGUCACUUAUAGAUGGAUCCGCGCUGCAUUAGCUAGUUGGUAAGGUAACGGCUUACCAAGGCAACGAUGCAUAGCCGACCUGAGAGGGUGAUCGGCCACACUGGAACUGAGACACGGUCCAGACUCCUACGGGAGGCCGCAGCAGGCAAGCUGCCGCAACGGGCGAGAGUCUGACCCAGGAACGGCGCGUGAGUACAGAAGAACUUGGGGUUGUAAACAGCUAUUCUUACGCACGAAAAUCUGUGUAAGUAGCUGUGGAUAUAGUGACGUUACAAAGUCAGCCUGACACGGCUAACUACGGG
rnacentral:rRNA from 1 species